rnacentral:rRNA from 1 species
AUUGAACGCUGGCGGCAUGCCUUACACAUGCAAGUCGAACGGUAACAGGCCGCAAGGUGCUGACGAGUGGCGAACGGGUGAGUAAUGCAUCGGAACGUGCCCAGUCGUGGGGGAUAACUGCUCGAAAGAGCAGCUAAUACCGCAUACGACCUGAGGGUGAAAGCGGGGGACCGUAAGGCCUCGCGCGAUUGGAGCGGCCGAUGUCAGAUUAGCUAGUUGGUGGGGUAAAGGCCUACCAAGGCAACGAUCUGUAGUUGGUCUGAGAGGACGACCAGCCACAAUGGGACUGAGACACGGCCCAGACUCCUACGGGAGGCAGCAGUGGGGAAUUUUGGACAAUGGGCGCAAGCCUGAUCCAGCAAUGCCGCGUGCAGGAAGAAGGCCUUCGGGUUGUAAACUGCUUUUGUCAGGGAAGAAAUCCUCUGGGUUAAUACCUCGGGGGGACGACGGUACCUGAAGAAUAAGCACCGGCUAACUACGUGCCAGCAGCCGCGGUAAAAC